rnacentral:rRNA from 9 species
AGCCAACAACACGCGGUGUUCCCAAGC